rnacentral:rRNA from 1 species
UGGGGAAUAUUGCACAAUGGGGGAAACCCUGAUGCAGCGACGCCGCGUGAGUGAAGAAGUAAUUCGUUAUGUAAAGCUCUAUCAGCAAGGAAGAAAGAAGACGGUACUUGACUAAGAAGCCCCGGCUAAAUACGUGCCAGCAGCCGCGGUAAUACGUAUGGGGCAAGCGUUAUCCGGAUUUACUGGGUGUAAAGGGAGCGUAGACGGCAUGGCAAGUCUGAUGUGAAAGCCCAGGGCUCAACCGUGGGACUGCAUUGGAAACUGUCUAGCUGGAGUGCGGGAGAGGUAAGUGGAAUUCCUAGUGUAGCGGUGAAAUGCGUAGAUAUUAGGAGGAACACCAGUGGCGAAGGCGGCUUACUGGACCGUAACUGACGUUGAGGCUCGAAAGCGUGGGGAGCAAACAGG